rnacentral:rRNA from 1 species
AUCAACUUUCGAUGGUAGGAUAGAGGCCUACCAUGGUGGNAANGGGUAACGGGGUGUUAGGGCACGACACCGGAGAGGGAGCCUGAGAAACGGCUACCACAUCCAAGGAUGGCAGCAGGCGCGCAAAUUACCCAAUCCCGACACGGGGAGGUAGUGACAAUAAAUAACAAUACGGGGUUCUUUCGGAUCUCGUAAUUGGAAUGAGUACAAUUUAAAUCUCUUAACGAGGAACAAUUGGAGGGCAAGUCUGGUGCCAGCAGCCGCGGUAAUUCCAGCUCCAAUAGCGUAUAUUAAAGUUGUUGCAGUUAAAAAGCUCGUAGUUGAAUUUCGGGAUCAAAUUGUCGGUCGUGCCUCGGUACGUACUGGCGUUAUUGGUUCCUCCCUUCUGAAGAACCGCGAUGUCAUUAAUUUGGUGUCGCGGGAAAUCAGGACUGUUACUUUGAAAAAAUUAGAGUGUUUAAAGCAGGCUCACGCUUGAAUACAUUAGCAUGGAAUAAUGAAAUAGGACGUUUGAUUCUAUUUUGUUGGUUUCUAGGAUCGACGUAAUGAUUAAUAGGGAUAGUUGGGGGCAUUAGUAUUCAAUUGUCAGAGGUGAAAUUCUUGGAUUUAUUGAAGACUAACUACUGGGAAAGCAUUUGCCAAGGAUGUUUUCAUUAAUCAAGAACGAAAGUUAGGGGAUCGAAGACGAUCAGAUACCGUCGUAGUCUUAACCAUAAACUAUGCCGACUAGGGAUCGGAUGAUGUUAAUUUAAUGACUCAUUCGGCGCCUUACGGGAAACCAAAGUGUUUGGGUUC